rnacentral:rRNA from 1 species
UACAGAGGGUGCGAGCGUUGUCCGGAAUUACUGGGCGUAAAGCGCACGUAGGCGGCUUUUGUAAGUUAGAGGUGAAAGCCCCGGAGCUCAACUCCGGAAUUGCCUUUAAGACUGCAUCGCUUGAAUCCAGGAGAGGUGAGUGGAAUUCCGAGUGUAGAGGUGAAAUUCGUAGAUAUUCGGAAGAACACCAGUGGCGAAGGCGGCUCACUGGACUGGUAUUGACGCUGAGGUGCGAAAGCGUGGGGGAGCAAACAGG